GGUGCCACGGUCCUCUACCCCUGCGUGGUGUAUGACCGUGGGCCCGAGAGCGCUCUUGAAUAAAAAUCCUCUUGCAAUUUGCAACAAGACCGUUUUCUCGUUGGUGAUUUUGGGGUGUCGCCUCUCCUGAGUCAGAACGUGGGGGAGUCCUCACGUUGUGGGUCUUUCAUUUGGUGCGUUGGCCGGGAAACGCGACCACCCCUCACACCAGAGAACCGACUUGGAGGUAUGGGGAUCCCCUCUUGUGUGUGUGCCGGCCGGUGUAUCUGUUUUGAGUGUCUGUUUUCUGAAACGAACAUUGGAACAUGUGCUUGUUAUGUUGGGUUGUUUGUGUCUUGUCCUAUGUUUCUGAAGCACGGCAAAGUCUGAGUUUGGAUCCAUCUGAGUUUAUUGAAUUUGUGUCUUGGUUUCAGGGUUACGAGAUCGUGGGUUCGAGUCCCACCUCGUGCCUUGGUUUUCGGGUUGCGAGAUCAUGGGUUCCAGUCCCACCUCGUGCUUUGGUUUCAGGGUUACGAGAUCGUGGGUUCGAGUCCCACCUUGUGCCUUGGUUUUACAUCUGGCAGAGUGAGGAACAAGUGUGCUUCUCUGGUUUUGGUCAUCUAGGUAAAAGUGGACGACGGUGUUUGUAGACGAUGGGGUGAUGGGGUUUUCUGAAAUGCGCGCGUCUGUAUUUGCAGCUGUCCUUUUGGGCCGUAAGGACCGGAGGACUGUGGUCGGCAGACGUGCUAGGAGGACCACAGGCUGUGGCCCUGGGGGACGCCCUGGGAGGUAAGGAGAGCCAGGGAUGCCUGGCUGUCUCCGGAUCGGUCAGAGGGACCGAGUUCUGUUGAAGCGGAAGCUUCCCCCUCCAACAUCGUCUAAUUCUUUUGCCUGCUUGUGGAGGACAAGAAAGGGUCGAGUGUGUCUGGAUUUGUUGGUUUCUGUUUUAUGUGUUUUUGUGUACGUGUUUAGAGCUAUGUGAAAAUCUAGAGAAACAAAGGUAAUUCUCAUAGGUGCUUUAUACCCUGACUAGAGAAAGUUUACACCUGAGAUGUGAGAAAAUGGGUUUUGAGAAAAGCAGUACACUCCAACUAUCUGGAGAUAAUUUGGUAAUAAAAUAAACAGUAUUAAUUGGUCUUUGGAACCCUGCACCUGUAGUUAGGAAUCUAGUGUGGCUAGAGAAGCCCUGCUAGGCGCUGAUUAUAAAUGCUGUUCUUAUAGGGACCAGCAGCUUCUCAAGUUCUAUGGUAAGGGAAGAGAUGGCUGUUUUUCCUACAAAAAUUGGAUUCAUCAGAUGACAAGGUGCUCCUCUCUUGAAAUUACAGCUAAAAAAAAAAAAAAAGAAUUUUGUUUGGUUUAAAUGGACAAAUGUAUACGACCAUUUCAUUUUUGUUCCUAAAUAGUUUCAAAAGUAUAAAUAUGUUUUAUAUGUCUUGGUUAUAGAUUAGUGGCUCAUAAGUUAUUUGUUAUGAUUAAAAAUUUGUAACAUUGGUAACAAAAAGUUGACUUAAAACUGGUAACUCUGUGUUAGAGUAAUUUAGAACUACAACAUGCAGCAUGAGACAACCCAUGGGAACAGGUCUCUAAAGAUACGCCUGAAUUGGGUAAUAUUCUGUGUAAUUCUUAUUCUAGAAACCCGAUUUAUAAUAGAUAUAUUGGCGGCUACACCUUCUUGUGUUUGUGUGCAGGAACGGACAGCCAAACUUUGUAGCAAGUAAUGUUUUUGGAGUUCAUUUUUAAAGAAAAUAGAUUGUUUACACUGUUAAAAUUGGGUUUUGCUUCUCAAAAUUGUGGUUGUGCUCUCAUGUUACAAGAGAAAUUAAAGGCUUCUCCCGAAUUGGAGCCACCAGCUAAAUCGGCUCCUCUAAAAUCUAUAAAGCCUCCUGAGUGGCCUAGUCCACAACCUUCCCCUUAUCCACAGCCUCGACCCCAGCCGCCGACGGGGCGUUGAGAGGCGGACCACUGUGAGUACAUGGAGCCACAGGGACCCGCAGAGCAGAGUACGGGCGGACUCUGGUGGACCCGCCCAAACUUUAAACCCUUCAGUACUGGUCAUUUUCCUCUGCUGGUAUUUAUAACUGGAAAAUUAACCACCCCCUUUCUCAGGAUCCCCAACGCCUCACAGGGUUGGUGGAGUUCCUUAUGUUCUCUCAUCAGCCUACUUGGGAUGACUGUCAACAGUGGUUGCAGAUGCUCUUAACAACCGAAGAGCGAGAAAGAAUUCUGUUAGAGGCUAGAAAAAUAGCCCAAAAGCCAACGGUGGUCUACACAGCUACAAAAUGAGAUCGACAUGAAAUUCCCUUUGACUCACCCCAGUUGGAACUGCAACAUGGCUAAAGGUAGGGAGAGCUUAAAAAUCUAUCGCCAGGCUCCGGUCUCCAAGGUGCCUCAAAACGGGCCCACUAAUUUGGCUAAGGUAAGAAGUAAUGCAGGGGCCGAUCGAACCUUCCUCUGUGUUCCUUGAAAGGCUUAUGGAAGCCUUCAGGCGGUUCACUCCCUUUGAUCUUACCUCGGAAGCCCAAAAGGCCUCAGUGGCCAUGGCCUUUCAUAAGGCAGUCAGCUCCCUAUAUCAGAAAGAAACUUCAGAGAUUAAAAGGUAUAUUACAAAAAGGAGACAGUUAUGCGAUCUAGUAAAAGAGGCAGAGAAAGUGUGUGUGUGAGAGAGAGAAAGGCGAGAGGCAAAAGAAAGAGAAAACAGGAGGGAUCGUAGACAAGAAAGAAAUUUGCCACAGUGGUAGGAAAAUAAGAAAAGACAGGAUCUAGACAGGAAACCUGGGCAACUGAAGACGGAGCCUCAGCUAAAGAGGCUCAGCUGUGUCAGACUGAAGUGACUUAUUUGGGAUACACCCUUCAAGGUAGAAAGCAGUGGCUAAAAGAAGCCAGAAAAAGACUGUAACUCAGAUCCCCACCCCAACUACACCAAGGCAAGUAAGAAAAUUCUUAGGUACUGCUGGCUUCUACAGACUCUAGAUACCUGGGUUGGCGACCUUAGCUGCCCAGUUGUACCCCCUAACCAAGGAAGGGAGGUGUUUGUGUGGACCCCAGAUCACCAGAAAGCCUUUAAAGAGAUUAAAAAGGCCCUACUGAUGGCCAGCCUAUGCCUGACCUAACCAAGCCUUUCACUCUUUAUGUAAAAGAGAGAGCAGGGGUCACCAGAGGAGUCCUUACUCAGACUUUGGGACUUUGAAAAAGGCCAGUGACUUACCUAUCCAAGAAGUUACACCCUGUUGCCAGCGGGUGGUUUUCUUGCCUGAAAGCUAUUGCUGCCAUAAUCUGCUUGUCAAGGAUGCUGAUAAGCUCACUCUGGGACAGCAAAUAACUGUAGUGGCAUCCCACACUCUUGAAAGCAUUACCAACGCUCCUGUGACACAUCAGAGCUUUUUGUUGUCUAAAUGAGUGAUCUUCGCUUCAUUCCACCUGCUGUCCCACUGCGUGAGACUGCACCUACUCAUCACUGCGCUGACAUUCUGGCAGAAGAAAUGAUCUGAAGGAUCAGAUCAGCCUUAGCCUGAGGACAGUAGCCUCAAGGUUAAAGGUAAGCAGAAGGCGGGGACAGCAGUAUGGUGGUGAACAGAAAGCAAGUGAUCUAGGCCAGCAGCCUUCCUGAGGGACGUCGGCCCAGAAAGCUGAACUUGUGACUUUAAGACAAGCUCUAUAAAUGGCAAAGAAAAGUCUACACUGACAACAGGUAUGCUUUUGCCACUCUACGGGGCAAUAUACAAAGAGGGCUGUUGACAUCUGCAGAAAAAGACCUAAGAUGCUGUGG
rnacentral:lncRNA from 1 species